GAUGAACGCUAGCGGCAGGCUUAACACAUGCAAGUCGAGGGGUAACAGGGAUUGCUUGCAAUCCGCUGACGACCGGCGCACGGGUGCGUAACGCGUAUGCAACCUACCUUUUUCAGGGGAAUAGUCAAUAGAAAUGUUGAAUAAUACCCCAUAAUAUCAUUAAUCCGCAUGGAUUGAUGAAGAAAGCUCCGGCGGAAAAAGAUGGGCAUGCGUCCUAUUAGUUAGUUGGUAAGGUAACGGCUUACCAAGACAUCGAUAGGUAGGGGUCCUGAGAGGGAGAUCCCCCACACUGGUACUGAGACACGGACCAGACUCCUACGGGAGGCAGCAGUGAGGAAUAUUGGACAAUGGAGGCAACUCUGAUCCAGCCAUGCCGCGUGCAGGAAGACGGCCCUAUGGGUUGUAAACUGCUUUUAUACAGGAAGAACUGUAUCUACGUGUAGAUACUUGACGGUACUGUACGAAUAAGGAUCGGCUAACUCCGUGCCAGCAGCCGCGGUAAUACGGAGGAUCCAAGCGUUAUCCGGAAUCAUUGGGUUUAAAGGGUCCGUAGGCGGUCUAAUAAGUCAGAGGUGAAAUCCUGCAGCUCAACUGUAGCAUUGCCUUUGAUACUGUUAGACUUGAGUUAUUGUGAGGUAGUUAGAAUGUGUAGUGUAGCGGUGAAAUGCAUAGAUAUUACACAGAAUACCGAUUGCGAAGGCAGAUUACUAACAAUAUACUGACGCUGAGGGACGAAAGCGUGGGUAGCGAACAGGAUUAGAUACCCUGGUAGUCCACGCCGUAAACGAUGGAUACUAGCUGUUCGAUCAACAUUGGUUGGUUGAGUGGCUAAGCGAAAGUGAUAAGUAUCCCACCUGGGGAGUACGCUCGCAAGAGUGA
rnacentral:rRNA from 1 species